GGCCCGGGAUAGCCCAGGGAAACCUGGAUUAAUACCGGAUGAGACGGGACCCGCGAUGGCGGGACCCGGGAAAGGCGCUGCGGCGCCGGCCGGGGGAUGAGUCUGCGUCCCAUUAGCUAGGCGGCGGGGUAACGGCCCACCGUGGCGACGAUGGGUAGCCGGCCUGAGAGGGUGGACGGCCACAUUGGAACUGAGACACGGUCCAGACUCCUACGGGAGGCAGCAGCUAAGAAUCUUCCGCAAUGGGCGAAAGCCUGACGGGAGCGACGCCGCGUGAACGAAGAAGGCCGUGAGGUUGUAAAGUUCUUUCGGGAGGGGAACAACCGUGGCAGGGAAUGGCCGCGGGAUGACGUGAAUCCCGGAAUAAGCCCCGGCUAACUACGUGCCAGCCGCGGC
rnacentral:rRNA from 1 species